UCCCCGCGCCGGGCGGAAGUACGACAGGCGGACGUUAAUUGUAAGUCUGAGGUCACUUCCGGACCUCGGAGCGUUUCAAGAUGGCGGCGUCUUUGCUGAGACAUGUGGGUCAGCGUUGCCUGUGGACUCGGCUCGGCCCCAGCCUUUCUGUGCGACAGUGGUCUCUGCCUAUGAUGAUGUCCAUCGGCCACCGUGGCACUGGUGUUGCAAUGAGUGCAGGAGUCUCUCUCUUUGGCCUGGCGGCCUUGAUUCUCCCAGAACAGUUCCCCUAUUACCUGGCAUUUGUGAAAUCGCUUAGCCUGGGGCCUGCUCUUAUCUACUCUGCUAAGUUUGCUUUGGCUUUCCCCCUCACGUAUCACACCUGGAAUGGAAUCCGACACCUUAUGUGGGACAUGGGAAAAGGAUUUAAGAUUCCCCAAGUCUACCAGUCUGGAGUCCUGGUCCUGGUCUUGACGCUGCUUUCCUCUGCUGGACUCGCAGCCAUGUGAAGGCAUCUCCCUCCUGAAGCCCUCCCUUCUCCUAUAAGGAUUUGAUUCAUCUGGUGAUCUGGUCCAGACAGAGCUCACUAUCCUAGGCCAGCAGGUUCCCAGAACACCCUUCCAGAAUGCCACAGGCAGGAGUCCCAGUCCAGGAUGUUCAAGACUCUAGGUAGCCACAAGCAGCUGGUAACUGACAGCUGAUUAGCAGUUGAUUCCAAUCCACCUAGAGCAUGCUAAGGAGCUGCCUUCCUUAAUUCAUUGCUGUUCUCAGACUAACUCUGGUUCACUUGCUUUCUGCUCUGCCCUGAAGCUUGAGACAAUACUGGCAUUGUGUGCCCCCUCACUGGGUCUGAGUGGGGUUGGGGGAGGAGACGCGAGUGCCUCUAGCCUAGCGUCUGUGUGUAGGCUCACGUAAAAGACAACUGUCCCCAUUGAUGCUGGCGCUGGUUCUAGGGCAAGCACAGACUGAGCCGCCGACGCCAGUGCCCGUGAUGCUAGUAAGAGGAAUAAGGAAUUUGAUGCUGUCCUGGGUACAAUGCCUAACUGCUGGAAUCUGGCUUUCUGCUGCAGUCAGCAUCCUGUGAGCUUUACAGUGGGGAGAGGGGCAACCUGUAGUGCUUGGGAGCUGGGUAUGUUGUUCUGUGCAGCAGCUCACAACACUUCCAGCAGAUCAAGGAUAAGCACCCAUAUAUUUUUUGAGUCUUCAAUCAAAUCUUUUCUUUUUUUCCCCUCUGAAAAUCUGUUCUUUGAACCUUUUGGAUGACUGCCAAUGCCACGGUCUCCCCCUGCUGUGUACUGUUACUCCGGCCCAUGUGUUUGUAACAGACCCACCCUCCCCAGUAAAGCAGGCUUGCUCUUUCACACUGCAUGCUCGCAGCUGAGUUCUUGUUACAGAUUUUCAAAUGAACUGCCAUUUUGGCUUUUUGAUAGACUCUAAUGAAACAUCUGAAAUCUGAACAGAGACACAUGGAGAAUUUACCCUGAGUGAAUGGAGAAUGUCGUGUUCUCUUCAGAGAAGCAGUGCAGAGCUGUGUGGUAUGACAUGGGAGUCGGGGCCCUCUGAUCUCAUGUUAUGGAGCCCAUAGUGACUGGCUACCCCUUGGGUAUGCAGUUGAGAAGCCUGACACUGUGGGCCUGCACCCCAUGGUCAUUUACACUGAUGUGAAAUGCUCCCGGCUCAGUGUGGUGGCAUUUCAGACCCAGUCUGUGCUCGAUUUGUGCUAAAACCCAAUGUACUCCAGUAGUUGCAUUUACACUUGGAGACUUGGUUCUGCUCUAACAAGUGACUGUAAAAAUGGCCCCUUCCUAUUUAGGGGCUCUGCCUCCUCUGUGGAGCAGUUGGAGCUGUUGACUCUACUGUCUGCAGGAGGGGUUUUCCUCCCCCUCCUAUUGAUGCUGUGGAGCCAGCCUGGACUGUUCUGAAACAUGAAUUCCGCUGUCUCCAGAGUGGCUCUAGGACCAGCAAUAGCAGCACAAGGUUUCUCUCACACAGUGCUUCAGCUCUGGGUGCUUUGGUGUCCAAUGCCUAGUGAGGGUUUGGCCUCGGAGAGUAACAGUGAGGUUAUAAUUCCCCUGACAGCGCUAGGCCCUAGUGUGCACUACCUGCAGAUGCAUUUACCACUGGGUUGUCAUGGGGUUAAGAUGCCUGUAGCUAUAACCACUCGAACCUGUGCUGGUGGCAGAGCAGUGUGUGGGGGGUGCCCUGUAAUUGUUAGUGAAGGUGCAGACCCAGAGAGGCAGUGGUGCAUGGGCACCUCUCCCAGAGGAGGCAGAGAGAUGAUCCCCUUUCCCUUCCAAAGUCAUGGAGCCAGCAAACAGCGCUGCCUUUUGGUGGCUACCAGUUUUAGUCUUUCACUGGUAAUUUCCCCACCCCAAGUGAGCCAGUGAGUAGUGACCAAACAGAAGCAUGGACUGAUCUGGAAGCCCCAGUGGUAGGGUCAGGGCCUGGUGCAAGUGGUGACCAUGGACAGAGGAGUGUUUGCUUAAAGUUCCCUGAAAAGCAUUUAUGCAAGAUGGGGUGAGGGCACCGUGUCUGUGCUGGAUCAGGAGGCCUGGCAGGGGCUGAAAGGGUUUUUUGCUUUUAGAAAUAUUAGCAGCGUCCAGUCUUCUUGUCCUGGUUUUGCUGGGGGAUGUCUGUCCGGGGGUCUCAGGAUAUCUAUGAAGGGAGCACUAAAAGCCCUAGUGAAACGAGAAGGGGUGGAGGCUGUGGCAAAGGCUUCCUUUAUCCAAAGGGUUAGUCACUGACAUUAGAUUCAUAAAUUCCAAGGCCAGAAAGGACGACUGUGAUCAUCUUGUCUGACCCCUGGGAUAACACAGGAGAGAGACGCCUCAAAAUAAUUUGUAGAGCAGAGCUUUUAGAAAAAUGCCCAAACUUGAUCUAAAAAUUGUCACAAGGGGGAAUCCACCCUUACCCUUGGUAAAUUGUUCCAGUGUUUGUUUACUCUCAUAGUUAAAUAUUUACACUUUAUUUUCAGUCUGAAUUUUUCUAGCUUCAACUUCCAUGCCUGAGAUCAUGUUAUACUUUUCUCUGAUACACUGAAGAGCUCAUUAUUAAAUAUUUGUUCCCCAUGUAGAUACUUACAGACUUUGAUCAACCAUCUUUUUAUUAAACUAAGUAGAUUGACCACCUUGAGUCCAUCACUGUAAGGCAUGUUUUCUAAUCCUUUAAUCAUUCUUAUGGCUUUCCAAACCCUCCCCAAUUUAUCAAUAUCGUCCUUGAAUUCUGGACUUCAGAACUGGACACAGGAUUCCAGCAGCAGUCGUAUCAGUGCCAAGUCCAGAGGUAAAAUAACCCCUCUACUUCUACUUGAGAUUCCAGCUUAUGCAUCCAGAGAUUGAGCUGAUUAUCCACCAUGAUCCGUCAGUCUUUUUCACAGUCAGUGCUUCCCAGGAAAAGAGUCCCCCGUUGUGCAUGUAUGACUGACAUUCAUUGUUCUUAGAUGUAUAUGUUUACAUUUAGUCAUGUUAAAAUGCAUAUUGUUUGCUUCUGCCCGGUUUACCAAAUAUCCAGAUUGCUGUGUCA